GAUGAACGCUGGCGGCGUGCCUAAUACAUGCAAGUCGAGCGAACGGACGAGAAGCUUGCUUCUCUGAUGUUAGCGGCGGACGGGUGAGUAACACGUGGAUAACCUACCUAUAAGACUGGGAUAACUUCGGGAAACCGGAGCUAAUAACGGAUAAUAUUUUGAACCGCAUGGUUCAAAAGUGAAAGACGGUCUUGCUGUCACUUAUAGAUGGAUCCGCGCUGCAUUAGCUAGUUGGUAAGGUAACGGCUUACCAAGGAAACGAUGGGUAGCCGACCUGAGAGGGUGUUCGGCGACACUGGAACUGAGACACGGUCCAGACUCCUACGGGAGGCAGCAGUAGGGAACCUUCCGCAGUGGGCGAAAGCCUGACGGAGCAACGCCGCGUGAGUGAUGACGGUCUUCGGAUCGUAAAACUCUGUUAUUAGGGAAGAACAUAUGUGUAAGUAACUGUGCACAUCUUGACGGUACCUAAUCAGAAAGCCCCGGCUAACUACGUG
rnacentral:rRNA from 1 species